AAAGAAUUAAGAUAGAUGUGUAGGGCUGGGCGAUAUGGAGAAAAUCUAAUAUCGCGAUAUUUUUGACCAAAUACAUUGAUGUCAAUACUGCAACGAUAGUUUAGUGUUGACUAUUGGUGCUUCAACAAAAUAUUUACACAAUGACAGUUUUGAUAAACAAUCAUCAGUAAUGUAUAUAUAAUGACUAAGUGGGUAAAGGAAAACAAUUGAGCAGUUACAGUCUGGGAUAAUCAGAAGAUUAUACCACUUUACCAUAAUGCAGCCUUUAAAACCAGGAAAAGACACCACUUAUGCCAUAUUAUAAUAUUACGAUAUCCAAAAUCUAAGACGAUAUGUAGUCUCAUAUGAAUAUAGUGCCCAGCUCUAGUCAGGUCUGCAAACUGGGUCUGGAAUCAUAACAAUGACUAUGAUGUUAAGUGCUGACUCUUUGCGGGAAUCCACAUCCGUAAAUAUCUUAUAGCCCAAAAUAGUCUCUCAACAGGGACAGAACAGAAUUGGACAUAAACUUAAAUAAAAACCUUAAAGUGUCAUCUGUUUAAAAAAAAUGAAAGUAAUAGCAAUCAAUAAAGACUUAAGUGUCUGCACUCACUAACAUUUUCAAACAACAAGUGGGACUGAUGCUGUUCAACAUCUACUUUACUGUU